rnacentral:rRNA from 1 species
AUUGAACGCUGGCGGCAUGCUUUACACAUGCAAGUCGAACGGUAACAGCACUUCGGUGGCUGACGAGUGGCGAACGGGUGAGUAAUACAUCGGAACGUGCCUAGUAGUGGGGGAUAACUACUCGAAAGAGUAGCUAAUACCGCAUGAGAUCUAAGGAUGAAAGCAGGGGACCUUCGGGCCUUGCGCUACUAGAGCGGCUGAUGGCAGAUUAGGUAGUUGGUGGGAUAAAAGCUUACCAAGCCGACGAUCUGUAGCUGGUCUGAGAGGACGACCAGCCACACUGGGACUGAGACACGGCCCAGACUCCUACGGGAGGCAGCAGUGGGGAAUUUUGGACAAUGGGCGCAAGCCUGAUCCAGCAAUGCCGCGUGCAGGAUGAAGGCCUGCGGGUUGUAAACUGCUUUUGUACGGAACGAAAAGCCCUCUUCUAAUACAGGAGGGUCAUGACGGUACCGUAAGAAUAAGCACCGGCGAACUACGU